UAUUGUGGGAGGAGGCAUUUGGUGAGUUUUGAGUGAAAUACAAUUCCUAGAACUAUACAAUACACCAACCACUCCAUUUCAGAACGAACUUGGUACGAACCUGAAUUGUCAAAUUUCGUGGACCGAUCGAUAUCGGAUUGAGUCCAAAACUUGGGGAACAUCAUAAUAUUGUGGGAGGAGUCAUUUGGUGGGUUUUGAGUGAAAUCCAAUCUCUAGAACUAUACAAUACACCAACCACCCCAUUUCAGAACGAACUUGAUACGAACCUGAAUUGUCCGAUUUCAAGGACCAAUCGAUAUCGGAUUGAGUCCAAAACUUGGAGACAUCAUAAUGUUGUGGGAGGAGUCAUUUGGUGGGUUUUGAGUGAAAUCCAACCCCUAGAACUAUACAAUACACCAACCACUCCAUUUCAGAACGAACUUCGUAUGAACUUGAAUUGCCCGAUUUCAUUGACCAAUCGAUAUCGGAUUGAGUCCAAAACUUGGGAAACAACAUAACAUUGUGGGAGGCGGCAUCUGGUGGGUUUUGAGUGAAACACAAUCCCUAGAACAAUACAAUACACUAAGCACUCCAUUUCAGAACGAACUUCGUACGAACAUGAAUUGUCAAAUUUCGUGGGAAGAUCGAUAUCGGAUUGAGUCUAGAACUUGGGGAACAACAAAAUAUUGUGGGAGGAGGAAUUUGGUGGGUUUUGAGUGAAAUACAAUCCCUAGAACUAUACAAUACACCAACCACUCCAUUUCAGAAUGAACUUGUUACGAACCUGAAUUGUCAAAUUUCGUGGACCGAUCGAUAUCGGAUUAAGUCCAAAACUUGGGGAACAUCAUAAUAUUGUGGGAGGAGUCAUUUGGUGGGUUUUGAGUGAAAUUAAAUCCCUAGAACUAUACAAUACACCAACCCCUCCAUUUCAGAACGAACUUCGUACGAACCUGAAUUGUCAAAUUUCUUGGACUGAUCGAUAUCGGAUUGAGUCCAAAACUUGGGGAACAACAUAAUAUUGCCGGAGGAGGCAUAUGGUGGGUUUUGACUGAAAUACAAUCCCUAGAAUUAUACAAUACACCAACCACCCCAUUUCAGAACGAACUUGAUACGAACCUGAAUUGUCCGAUUUCAAGGACCAAUCGAUAUCGGAUUGAGUCCAAAACUUGGAGACAUCAUAAUGUUGUGGGAGGAGUCAUUUGGUGGGUUUUGAGUGAAAUCCAACCCCUAGAACUAUACAAUACACCAACCACUCCAUUUCAGAACGAACUUCGUAUGAACUUGAAUUGCCCGAUUUCAUUGACCAAUCGAUAUCGGAUUGAGUCCAAAACUUGGGAAACAACAUAACAUUGUGGGAGGCGGCAUCUGGUGGGUUUUGAGUGAAACACAAUCCCUAGAACUAUACAAUACACUAAGCACUCCAUUUCAGAACGAACUUCGUACGAACAUGAAUUGUCAAAUUUCGUGGGAAGAUCGAUAUCGGAUUGAGUCUAGAACUUGGGGAACAACAAAAUAUUGUGGGAGGAGGAAUUUGGUGGGUUUUGAGUGAAAUACAAUCCCUAGAACUAUACAAUACACCAACCACUCCAUUUCAGAAUGAACUUGUUACGAACCUGAAUUGUCAAAUUUCGUGGACCGAUCGAUAUCGGAUUAAGUCCAAAACUUGGGGAACAUCAUAAUAUUGUGGGAGGAGUCAUUUGGUGGGUUUUGAGUGAAAUUAAAUCCCUAGAACUAUACAAUACACCAACCCCUCCAUUUCAGAACGAACUUCGUACGAACCUGAAUUGUCAAAUUUCUUGGACUGAUCGAUAUCGGAUUGAGUCCAAAACUUGGGGAACAACAUAAUAUUGCCGGAGGAGGCAUAUGGUGGGUUUUGACUGAAAUACAAUCCCUAGAAUUAUACAAUACACCAACCACCCCAUUUCAGAACGAACUUGAUACGAACCUGAAUUGUCCGAUUUCAAGGACCAAUCGAUAUCGGAUUGAGUCCAAAACUUGGAGACAUCAUAAUGUUGUGGGAGGAGUCAUUUGGUGGGUUUUGAGUGAAAUCCAACCCCUAGAACUAUACAAUACACCAACCACUCCAUUUCAGAACGAACUUCGUAUGAACUUGAAUUGCCGAUUUCAUGACCAAUCGAUAUCGGAUUGAGUCCAAAACUUGGGAAACACAUAACAUGUGGGAGGAGGCAUCUGGUGGGUUUUGAGUGAAAUACAAUCCCUAGAACUACACAAUACACAAAGCACUCCAUUUCAAAACGAACUUCGUACGAACAUGAAUUGUCAAAUUUCGUGGGAACAUCGAUAUCGGAUUGAGUCUAGAACUUGGGGAACAACAUAAUAUUGUGGGAGGAGGAAUUUGGUGGGUUUUGAGUGAAAUACAAUCCCUAGAACUAUACGAUACACCAACCACCCCAUUUCAGAACGAACUUCGUACGAACCUGAAUUGUCCGAUUUCAAGGACCAAUCGAUAUCGGAUUGAGUCCAAAACUUGGAGACAUCAUAAUAUUGUGGGAGGAGUCAUUUGGUGGAUUUUGAGUGAAAUCCAACCCCUAGAACUAUACAAUACACCAACCACCCCAUUUCAGAACGAAUUUUGUACGAACCUGAAUUGUCCGAUUUCAAGGACCAAUCGAUAUCGGAUUGAGUCCAAAACUUGGGAAACAACAUAACAUUGUGAGAGGAGGCAUCUGGUGGGUUUUGAGUGAAAUACAAUCCCUAGAACUAUACAAUACACUAAGCACUCCAUUUCAGAACGAACUUCGUACGAACAUGAAUUGUCAAAUUUUGUGGGAAGAUCGAUAUCGGAUUGAGUCUAAAACUUGGGGAACAACAUAAUAUUGUGGGACGAGGAAUUUGGUGGGCUUUGAGUGAAACACAAUCCCUAGAACUAUACAAUACACCAACCACUCCAUUUCAGAACGAACUUGGUACGAACCUGAAUUGUCAAAUUUCGUGGACCGAUCGAUAUCGGAUUAAGUCCAAAACUUGGGGAACAUCAUAAUAUUGUGGGAGGUGUCAUUUGGUGGGUUUUGAGUGAAAUCCAAUCCCUAGAACUAUACAAUACACCAACCACUCCAUUUCAGAACGAACUUCGUACGAACCUGAAUUGUCAAAUUUCAUGAACCGAUCGAUAUCGGAUUGAGUCCAAAACUUGGGGAACGUCAUAAUAUUGUGGAUGGAGUCAUUUGGUGGGUUUUGAGUGAAAUCCAAUCUCUAGAACUAUAUAAUACACCAACCACUCCAUUUCAGAACGAACUUCAUACGAACCUGAAUUGUCAAAUUUCGUGGACUGAUCGAUACUGGAUUGAGUCCAAAACUUGGGGAACAUCAUAAUAUUGUGGGAGGAGUCAUUUGGUGGGUUUUGAGUGAAAUCCAAUCUCCAGAACUAUACAAUACACCAACCACCCCAUUUCAGAACGAACUUCGUACGAACCUGAAUUGGCCGAUUUCAAGGACCAAUCGAUAUCGGAUUGAGUCCAAAACUUGGGGAACAUCAUAAUAUUGUGGGAGGAGUCAUUUGGUGGGUUUUCAGUGAAAUACAAUCCCUAGAACUAUACAGUACACCAACCACUCCAUUUCAGAACGAACUUCGUACGAACCUGAAUUGUCAAAUUUCGUGGACUGAUCGAUAUCGGAUAGAGUCCAAAACAUAGGGAACAACAUAAUAUUGUGGGAGGAGGCAUUUGGUGGGUUUUGAGUGAAAUACAAUUCCUAGAACUAUACAAUACACCAACCACUCCAUUUCAGAACGAACUUGGUACGUACCUGAAUUGUCAAAUUUCGUGGACCGAUCGACAUCGGAUUGAGUCCAAAACUUGGGGAACAUCAUAAUAUUGUGGGAGGAGUCAUUUCGUGGGUUUUGAGUAAAAUCCAAUCUCUAGAACUAUACAAUACACCAACCACCCCAUUUCAGAACGAACUUCAUACGAACCUGAAUUGUCCGAUUUCAAGGACCAAUCGAUAUCGGAUUGAGUCCAAAACUUGGAGACAUCAUAAUAUUGUGGGAGGAGUCAUUUGGUGGGUUUGAGUGAAAUCCAACCCCUAGAACUAUACAAUACACCAACCACCCCAUUUCAGAACGAAUUUUGUACGAACCUGAAUUGUCCGAUUUCAAGGACCAAUCGAUAUCGGAUUGAGUCCAAAACUUGGGAAACAACAUAACAUUGUGAGAGGAGGCAUCUGGUGGGUUUUGAGUGAAAUACAAUCCCUAGAACUAUACAAUACACUAAGCACUCCAUUUCAGAACGAACUUCGUACGAACAUGAAUUGUCAAAUUUUGUGGGAAGAUCGAUAUCGGAUUGAGUCUAAAACUUGGGGAACAACAUAAUAUUGUGGGACGAGGAAUUUGGUGGGCUUUGAGUGAAACACAAUCCCUAGAACUAUACAAUACACCAACCACUCCAUUUCAGAACGAACUUGGUACGAACCUGAAUUGUCAAAUUUCGUGGACCGAUCGAUAUCGGAUUAAGUCCAAAACUUGGGGAACAUCAUAAUAUUGUGGGAGGUGUCAUUUGGUGGGUUUUGAGUGAAAUCCAAUCCCUAGAACUAUACAAUACACCAACCACUCCAUUUCAGAACGAACUUCGUACGAACCUGAAUUGUCAAAUUUCAUGAACCGAUCGAUAUCGGAUUGAGUCCAAAACUUGGGGAACGUCAUAAUAUUGUGGAUGGAGUCAUUUGGUGGGUUUUGAGUGAAAUCCAAUCUCUAGAACUAUAUAAUACACCAACCACUCCAUUUCAGAACGAACUUCAUACGAACCUGAAUUGUCAAAUUUCGUGGACUGAUCGAUACUGGAUUGAGUCCAAAACUUGGGGAACAUCAUAAUAUUGUGGGAGGAGUCAUUUGGUGGGUUUUGAGUGAAAUCCAAUCUCCAGAACUAUACAAUACACCAACCACCCCCUUUAUGAACGAAAUUGUACGAACCCGAAUUGUUCGAUUUCUGGGACCAAUCGAUAUCGGAAUGAGUCCAAAAAUAAGGGUAACAUCAUAAUAUUGUGGGAGUUGUCAUUUGGUGGGGUUUGAGUGAAAUCCAAUCACUAGAACUAUACAAUACACCAACCACCCCAUUUAUGAACGAACUUCGUACGAACAUGAAUUGUCCGAUUUCAAGGACCAAUCGAUAUCGGAUUGACUCCAAAACUUGGGGCACAUCAUAAUAUUGUGGGAGGAGUCAUUUGGUGGGUUCUGAGUGAAAUACAAUCCCAAGAACCACACAAUGCACCAACCACUCCAUUUCAGAACGAACUUCGUGAGAACCUGAAUUGUCCGAUUUCAAGGACCAAUCGAUAUCGGAUUGACUCCAAAACUUGGGGCACAUCAUAAUAUUGUGGGAGGAGUCAUUUGGUGUUUUCUGAGUGAAAUACAAUCCCUAGAACCAUACAAUGCACCAACCACUCCAUUUCAGAAUGAACUUCGUGGGAACCUGAAUUGUCAAAUUUCGUGGGCCGAUCGAUAUCGUAUUGAGUCCAAAACUUGAGGAACAGCAUAAUAUUGUGGGAGGAGUCAUUUGGUGGGUUNNNNNNNNNNNNNNNNNNNNNNNNNNNNNNNNNNNNNNNNNNNNNNNNNNNNNNNNNNNNNNNNNNNNNNNNNNNNNNNNNNNNNNNNNNNNNNNNNNNNUCACUAGAACUAUACAAUACACCAACCACCCCAUUUAUGAACGAACUUCGUACGAACCUGAAUUGUCCGAUUUCAGGGACCAAUCGAUAUCGGAUUGAGUCCAAAACUAGGGGUAACAUCAUAAUAUUGUGGGAGUUGUCAUUUGCGGGGGUUUGAGUGAAAUCCAAUCACUAGAACUAUACAAUACACCAACCACCCCUUUUAUGAACGAACUUCGUACAAACAUGAAUUGUCCGAUUUCAAGGACCAAUCGAUAUCGGAUUGACUCCAAAACUUGGGGAACAUCAUAAUAUUGUGGGAGGAGUCAUUUGGUGGGUUCUGAGUGAAAUACAAUCCCAAGACCCACACAAUGCACCAACCACUCCAUUUCAGAAACGAAACUCGUACGAACUUGAAAUGUCCGAUUUGAAGGACCAAUCGAUAUCGGGAUUGAUUUCCAAAACUUGGGGAACAUCAUAAUAUUGUGGGGAGAGUCAUUUGGUGGGUUUUUAGUGAAAAUUCAAUCCCCUAGAACUAUACAAAUACACCAACCACCCCAUUUAUGAACGAACUUCGUACGCACUUGAAUUGCCCGAUUUCAAGGACCAAUCGAUAUCGGAUUGGGUCCAAAACUUGGGGAGCAUCAUAAUAUUGUGGGAGGAGGCAUUUGGUGUCUUUUGACUGAAAUCCAAUGGCAAAAACUAUGCAAUACACCAACCACUCCAUUUCAGAACGAACUUCGUACGAACCUGAAUUGUCAAAUUUCAUGAACCGAUCGAUAUCGGAUUGAGUCCAAAACUUGGGGAACGUCAUAAUAUUGUGGAAGGAGUCAUUUGCUGGGUUUUGAGUGAAAUCCAAUCACUAGAACUAUACAAUACACCAACCACCCCAUUUAUGAACGAACUUCGUACGAACAUGAAUUGUCCGAUUUCAAGGACCAAUCGAUAUCGGAUUGACUCCAAAACUUGAGGCACAUCAUAGUAUUGUGGGAGGAGUCAUUUGGUGGGUUCUGAGUGAAAUACAAUCCCAAGAACCACACAAUGCACCAACCACUCCAUUUCAGAACGAACUUCGUGAGAACCUGAAUUGUCCGAUUUCAAGGACCAAUCGAUAUCGGAUUGACUCCAAAACUUGGGGCACAUCAUAAUAUUGUGGGAGGAGUCAUUUGGUGGGUUUGAGUGAAAUACAAUCCCAAGAACCACACAAUGCACCAACCACUCCAUUUCAGAACGAACUUCGUGAGAAACGUGAAUUGUCCGAUUUCAAGGACCAAUCGAUAUCGGAUUGACUCCAAAACUUGGGGCACAUCAUAAUAUUGUGGGAGGAGUCAUUUGGUGUGUUCUGAGUGAAAUACAAUCCCUAGAACCAUACAAUGCACCAACCACUCCAUUUCAGAAUGAACUUCGUGGGAACCUGAAUUGUCAAAUCCCCGUGGGCCGAUCGAUAUCGUAUUGAGUCCAAAACUUGAGGAACAGCAUAAUAUUGUGGGAGGAGUCAUUUGGUGGGUUUUGAGUGAAAUCCAAUCCCUAGAACUAUACAAUACACCAACCACCCCAUUUCAGAACGAACUUCGUACGAACCUGAAUUGUCCGAUUUCAAGGACCAAUCGGUAUCGGAUUGAGUCCAAAACUGGGGGAACAUCAUAAUAUUGUGGGAGGAGUCAUUUGGUGGGUUUUAAGUGAAAUCCAAUCUCUAGAACUAUACAAUACACCAACCAACACAUUCAGAAAGAACUUCGUACGAACCUGAAUUGUCAAAUUUCGUGGACUGAUCGAUAUUGGAUUGAGUCCAAAACUUAUGGAACUUCAUAAUAUUGUGGGAGGAGUCAUUUGGUGGGUUUUGAGUGAAAUCCAAUCUCCAGAACUAUACAAUACACCAACCACCCCAUUUCAGAACGAACUUCGUACGAACCUGAAUUGGCCGAUUUCAAGGACCAAUCGAUAUCGGAUUGAGUCCAAAACUUGGGGAAGAUCAUAAUAUUGUGGGAGGAGUCAUUUGGUGGGUUUUGAGUGAAAUACAAUCCCUAGAACUAUACAAUACACCAACCACUCCAUUUCAUAACGAACUUCGUACGAACCUGAAUUGACAAAUUUCAGGGACCGAUCGAUAUCGGAUUGAGUCCAAAACUUGGGGGAACAUCAUAAUAUUGUGGGGAGGAGUCAUUUGGUGGGUUUUGUGUGAAAUCCAAUCUCUAAAACUAUACAAUACACCGUCCACCCCAUUUUCAGAACGAACUUCGUACGACCCUGAAUUGUCCGAUUUCNNNNNNNNNNNNNNNNNNNNNNNNNNNNNNNNNNNNNNNNNNNNNNNNNNNNNNNNNNNNNNNNNNNNNNNNNNNNNNNNNNNNNNNNNNNNNNNNNNNNNNNNNNNNNNNNNNNNNNNNNNNNNNNNNNNNNNNNNNNNNNNNNNNNNNNNNNNNNNNNNNNNNNNNNNNNNNNNNNNNNNNNNNNNNNNNNNNNNNNNNNNNNNNNNNNNNNNNNNNNNNNNNNNNNNNNNNNNNNNNNNNNNNNNNNNNNNNNNNNNNNNNNNNNNNNNNNNNCACCAACCACCCCAUUUCAGAACGAACUUCGUACGAACCUGAAUUGUCCGAUUUCAAGGACCAAUCGAUAUCGGAUUGAGUCCAAAACUUGGGGAACGUCAUAAUAUUGUGGAAGGAGUCAUUUGGUGGGUUUUGAGUGAAAUCCAAUCUCUAGAACUAUAUAAUACACCAACCACUCCAUUUCAGAACGAACUUCAUACGAACCUGAAUUGUCAAAUUUCGUGGACUGAUCGAUAUUGGAUUGAGUCCAAAACUUAUGGAACUUCAUAAUAUUGUGGGAGGAGUCAUUUGGUGGGUUUUAAAUGAAAUCCAAUCUCCAGAACUAUACAAUACACCAACCACCCCAUUUCAGAACGAACUUCGUACGAACCUGAAUUGGCCGAUUUCAAGGACCAAUCGAUAUCGGAUUGAGUCCAAAACUUGGGGAAGAUCAUAAUAUUGUGGGAGGAGUCAUUUGGUGGGUUUUGAGUGAAAUACAAUCCCUAGAACUAUACAAUACACCAACCACUCCAUUUCAGAACGAACUUCGUACGAACCUGAAUUGACAAAUUUCGGGGACCGAUCGAUAUCGGGAUUGAGUCCAAAACUUGGGGAACAUCAUAAUAUUGUGGGAGGAGUCAUUUGGUGGGUUUUGAGUGAAAUCCAAUCCCUAGAAUUAUACAUACACCACCCACCCCAUUUCAGAACGAACUUUCGUACGAAUCUGAAUUGUCCGAUUUCAUCGACCAAUCGAUAUCGGAUUUGAGUCCAAAACCUGGGGAACAUCAUAAUAUUGUGGGAGGAGUCAUUUGGUGGGUUUUGAGUGAAAUCCAAUUCCUAGAACUAUACAAUAAACCAACCACUGCAUUUUAGAACGAACUUCAUACGAACCUGAAUUGCCCUUUUUCGUUGACCAAUCGAAUCGGAUUGAGUGCAAAACUUGGGGAACAACAUAAUAUUGUACGAGGAGUCAUUUGGUGGGUUUUGAGUGAAAUCCAAUCUCUAGAACUACACAAUACACCAACCACCCCAUUUCAGAACGAACUUCGUACGAACCUGAAUUGUCCGAUUUGAAGGACCAAUCGAUAUCGGAUUGAUUCCAAAACUUGGGGAACAUCAUAAUAUUGUGGGAUGAGUCAUUUGGUGGGUUUUUAGUGAAAUUCAAUCCCUAGAACUAUACAAUACACCAACCACCCCAUUUAUGAACGAACUUCGUACGCACCUGAAUUGCCCGAUUUCAAGGACCAAUCGAUAUCGGAUUGGGUCCAAAACUUGGGGAGCAUCAUAAUAUUGUGGGAGGAGGCAUUUGGUGUCUUUUGACUGAAAUCCAAUGGCAAAAACUAUGCAAUACACCAACCACUCCAUUUCAGAACGAACUUCGUACGAACCUGAAUUGUCAAAUUUCAUGAACCGAUCGAUAUCGGAUUGAGUCCAAAACUUGGGGAACGUCAUAAUAUUGUGGAAGGAGUCAUUUGCUGGGUUUUGAGUGAAAUCCAAUCACUAGAACUAUACAAUACACCAACCACCCCAUUUAUGAACGAACUUCGUACGAACAUGAAUUGUCCGAUUUCAAGGACCAAUCGAUAUCGGAUUGACUCCAAAACUUGAGGCACAUCAUAGUAUUGUGGGAGGAGUCAUUUGGUGGGUUCUGAGUGAAAUACAAUCCCAAGAACCACACAAUGCACCAACCACUCCAUUUCAGAACGAACUUCGUGAGAACCUGAAUUGUCCGAUUUCAAGGACCAAUCGAUAUCGGAUUGACUCCAAAACUUGGGGCACAUCAUAAUAUUGUGGGAGGAGUCAUUUGGUGUUUUCUGAGUGAAAUACAAUCCCUAGAACCAUACAAUGCACCCACCACUCCAUUUCAGAAUGAACUUCGUGAGAACCUGAAUUGUCAAAUUUCGUGGGCCGAUCGAUAUCGUAUUGAGUCCAAAACUUGAGGAACAGCAUAAUAUUGUGGGAGGAGUCAUUUGGUGGGUUUUGAGUGAAAUCCAAUCCCUAGAACUAUACAAUACACCAACCACCCCAUUUCAGAACGAACUUCGUACGAACCUGAAUUGUCCGAUUUCAAGGACCAAUCGGUAUCGGAUUGAGUCCAAAACUGGGGGAACAUCAUAAUAUUGUGGGAGGAGUCAUUUGGUGGGUUUUAAGUGAAAUCCAAUCUCUAGAACUAUACAAUACACCAACCAACACAUUUCAGAACGAACUUCGUACGAACCUGAAUUGUCCGAUUUCAAGGACCAAUCGAUAUCAGAUUGAGUCCAGAACUUGGGGAACAUCGUAAUAUUGUGGGAGGAGUCAUUUGGUGGGUUUUGAGUGAAAUCCAAUCUCUAGAACUAUACAAUACACCAACCACUCCAUUUAUGAACUAACUUCGUACGACCCUGAUUGUCCGAUUGUAAGUCCAAUCGAUAUCGGAUUGAGUCCAAACUUGAGACAUCAUAAUAUUGUGGAGAGUCAUUUGGUGGGUGUUGAGUGAAAUCCANNNNNNNNNNNNNNNNNNNNNNNNNNNNNNNNNNNNNNNNNNNNNNNNNNNNNNNNNNNNNNNNNNNNNNNNNNNNNNNNNNNNNNNNNNNNNNNNNNNNCUAGAACUACACAAUACACCAACCACCCCAUUUAUGAACGAACUUCAUACGAACCUGAAUUGUCCGAUUGUAAGGACCAAUCGAUAUAGGAUUGAGUCCAAAACUUGGGGAACAUCAUAAUAUUGUGGGAGGAGUCAUUUGGUGGGUUUUGUGUGAAAUCCAAUCUCUAAAACUAUACAAUACACCGACCACCCCAUUUCAGAACGAACUUCGUACGACCCUGAAUUGUCCGAUUUCAUCGGACCAAUCGAUAUCGGAUUGAGUCCAAAAACUUGGGGAACAUCAUAAUAUUGUGGGAGGAGUCAUUUGGUGGGUUUUGUGUGAAAUCCAAUCUCUAAAACUAUACAAUACACCGUCCACCCCAUUUCAGAACGAACUUCGUACGACCCUGAAUUGUCCGAUUUCAUCGACCAAUCGAUAUCGGAUUGAGUCCAAAACUUGGGGAACAUCAUAAUAUUGUGGGAGGAGUCAUUUGGUGGGUUUUGAGUGAAAUCCAAUUCCUAGAACUAUACAAUACACCAACCACUGCAUUUUAGAAUGAACUUCAUACGAACCUGAAUUGCCCUUUUUCGUUGACCAAUCGAAUCGGAUUGAGUGCAAAACUUGGGGAACAACAUAAUAUUGUACGAGGAGUCAUUUGGUGGGUUUUGAGUGAAAUCCAAUCUCUAGAACUAUACAAUACACCAACCACCCCAUUUCAGAACGAACUUCGUACGAACCUGAAUUGUCCGAUUUGAAGGACCAAUCGAUAUCGGAUUGAUUCCAAAACUUGGGGAACAUCAUAAUAUUGUGGGAGGAGUCAUUUGGUGGGUUUUUAGUGAAAUUCAAUCCCUAGAACUAUACAAUACACCAACCACCCCAUUUAUGAACGAACUUCGUACGCACCUGAAUUGCCCGAUUUCAAGGACCAAUCGAUAUCGGAUUGGGUCCAAAACUUGGGGAGCAUCAUAAUAUUGUGGGAGGAGGCAUUUGGUGUCUUUUGACUGAAAUCCAAUGGCAAAAACUAUGCAAUACACCAACCACUCCAUUUCAGAACGAACUUCGUACGAACCUGAAUUGUCAAAUUUCAUGAACCGAUCGAUAUCGGAUUGAGUCCAAAACUUGGGGAACGUCAUAAUAUUGUGGAAGGAGUCAUUUGGUGGGUUUUGAGUGAAAUCCAAUCUCUAGAACUAUAUAAUACACCAACCACUCCAUUUCAGAACGAACUUCAUACGAACCUGAAUUGUCAAAUUUCGUGGACUGAUCGAUAUUGGAUUGAGUCCAAAACUUAUGGAACUUCAUAAUAUUGUGGGAGGAGUCAUUUGGUGGGUUUUGAGUGAAAUCCAAUCUCCAGAACUAUACAAUACACCAACCACCCCAUUUCAGAACGAACUUCGUACGAACCUGAAUUGGCCGAUUUCAAGGACCAAUCGAUAUCGGAUUGAGUCCAAAACUUGGGGAAGAUCAUAAUAUUGUGGGAGGAGUCAUUUGGUGGGUUUUGAGUGAAAUACAAUCCCUAGAACUAUACAAUACACCAACCACUCCAUUUCAGAACGAACUUCGUACGAACCUGAAUUGACAAAUUUCGGGGACCGAUCGAUAUCGGAUUGAGUCCAAAACUUGGGGAACAUCAUAAUAUUGUGGGAGGAGUCAUUUGGUGGGUUUUGAGUGAAAUCCAAUCCCUAGAAUUAUACAAUACACCAACCACCCCAUUUCAGAACGAACUUCGUACGAAUCUGAAUUGUCCGAUUUCAAGGACCAAUCGACAUCGGAUUGAGUCCAAAACUUGGGGAACAUCAUAAGAUUGUGGGAGGAGUCAUUUGGUGGGUUUUGAGUGAAAUCCAAUCUCUAAAACUAUACAAUACACCAACCACCCCAUUUAUGAACGAACUUCGUACGAACCUAUACUGUCCUAUUUUAAGGACCAAUCGAUAUCGUAUUGAGUCCAAAACUUGGGGAACAUCAUAAUAUUGUGGGAGGAGUCAUUUGGUGGGUUUUGAGUGAAAUCCAAUACACCAACCACCCCAUUUAUGAACGAACUUCGUAUGAACCUAUACUGUCCGAUUUUAAGGACCAAUCGAUAUCGGAUUGAGUCCAAAACUUGGGGAACAUCAUAAUAUUGUGGGAGGAGUCAUUUACUGGGUUUUGAGUGAAAUCCAAUCACUAGAACUGUACAAUACACCAACCACCCCAUUUAUGAACGAACUUCGUACGAACCUGAAUUGUCCGAUUUCAGGGACCAAUCGAUAUCGGAUUGAGUCCAAAACUAAGGGUAACAUCAUAAUAUUGUGGGAGUUGUCAUUUGCUGGGUUUUGAGUGAAAUCCAAUCACUAGAACUAUACAAUACACCAACCACCCCAUUUAUGAACGAACUUCGUACGAACAUGAAUUGUCCGAUUUCAAGGACCAAUCGAUAUCGGAUUGACUCCAAAACUUGGGGCACAUCAUAAUAUUGUGGGAGGAGUCAUUUGGUGGGUUCUGAGUGAAAUACAAUCCCAAGAACCACACAAUGCACCAACCACUCCAUUUCAGAACGAACUUCGUGAGAACCUGAAUUGUCAAAUUUCGUGGGCCGAUCGAUAUCGUAUUGAGUCCAAAACUUGAGGAACAGCAUAAUAUUGUGGGAGGAGUCAUUUGGUGGGUUUUGAGUGAAAUCCAAUCCCUAGAACCAUACAAUGCACCAACCACUCCAUUUCAGAAUGAACUUCGUGAGAACCUGAAUUGUCAAAUUUCGUGGGCCGAUCGAUAUCGUAUUGAGUCCAAAACUUGAGGAACAGCAUAAUAUUGUGGGAGGAGUCAUUUGGUGGGUUUUGAGUGAAAUCCAAUCCCUAGAACUAUACAAUACACCAACCACCCCAUUUCAGAACGAACUUCGUACGAACCUGAAUUGUCCGAUUUCAAGGACCAAUCGGUAUCGGAUUGAGUCCAAAACUGGGGGAACAUCAUAAUAUUGUGGGAGGAGUCAUUUGGUGGGUUUUAAGUGAAAUCCAAUCUCUAGAACUAUACAAUACACCAACCAACACAUUUCAGAACGAACUUCGUACGAACCUGAAUUGUCCGAUUUCAAGGACCAAUCGAUAUCAGAUUGAGUCCAGAACUUGGGGAACAUCGUAAUAUUGUGGGAGAAAUCAUUUGGUGGGUUUUGAGUGAAAUCCAAUCUCUAGAACUAUACAAUACACCAACCACUCCAUUUAUGAACUAACUUCGUACGAACCUGAAUUGUCCGAUUGUAAGGUCCAAUCGAUAUCGGAUUUGAGUCCAAAACUUGGAGAACAUCAUAAUAUUGUGGGAGGAGUCAUUUGGUGGGUUUGAGUGAAAUCCAAUCCCUAGAACUACACAAUACACCAACCACCCCAUUUAUGAACGAACUUCAUACGAACCUGAAUUGUCCGAUUGUAAGGACCAAUCGAUAUAGGAUGGAGUCCAAAACUUGGGGAACAUCAUAAUAUUGUGGGAGGAGUCAUUUGGUGGGUUUUGUGUGAAAUCCAAUCUCUAAAACUAUACAAUACACCGACCACCCCAUUUCAGAACGAACUUCGUACGACCCUGAAUUGGUCCGAUUUCAUCGACCAAUCGAUAUCGGAUUGAGUCCAAAACUUGGGGAACAUCAUAAUAUUGUGGGAGGAGUCAUUUGGUGGGUUUUGAGUGAAAUCCAAUUCCUAGAACUAUACAAUAAACCAACCACUGCAUUUUAGAACGAACUUCAUACGAACCUGAAUUGCCCUUUUUCGUUGACCAAUCGAAUCGGAUUGAGUGCAAAACUUGGGGAACNNNNNNNNNNNNNNNNNNNNNNNNNNNNNNNNNNNNNNNNNNNNNNNNNNNNNNNNNNNNNNNNNNNNNNNNNNNNNNNNNNNNNNNNNNNNNNNNNNNNUACGAGGAGUCAUUUGGUGGGUUUUGAGGUAAUCCAAUCUCCUAGAACUAUACAAUACACCAACCACCCCAUUUCAGAACGAACUUCGUACGAACUGAAUUGUCCGAUUUGAAGGACCAAUCAAUAUCGGAUUGAUUCCAAAACUUGGGGAACAUCAUAAUAUUGUGGGAGGAGUCAUUUGGUGGGUUUUUAGUGAAAUUCAAUCCCUAGAACUAUACAAUACACCAACCACCCCAUUUAUGAACGGACUUCGUACGCACCUGAAUUGCCCGAUUUCAAGGACCAAUCGAUAUCGGAUUGGGUCCAAAACUUGGGGAGCAUCAUAAUAUUGUGGGAGGAGGCAUUUGGUGUCUUUUGACUGAAAUCCAAUGGCAAAAACUAUGCAAUACACCAACCACUCCAUUUCAGAACGAACUUCGUACGAACCUGAAUUGUCCAAUUUCAUGGACCAAUCGAUAUCGGAUUGAGUCCAAAACUUGGAGAACAUCAUAAUAAGAUGGGAGGAGUCAUUUGGACUGAAAUCCAAUGGCUAAAACUAUGCAAUACACCAACCACUCCAUUUCAGAACGAACUUCGUACGAACCUGAAUUGUCAAAUUUCAAGGACCAAUCGAUAUCGGAUUGAGUCAAAAACUUGGGGAUCAUCAUAAUAUCGUGGGAGGAGUCAUUUCGUGGGUUUUGAGUGAAAUCCAAUGUCUACAACUAUGCAAUACACCACCCACUCCAUUUCAUAAUGAACUUCGUACGAACCUGAAUUGUCCAAUUUCAUGGACCAAUCGAUAUCGGAUUGAGUCCAAAACUUGGGGAUCAUCACAAUCCGGUGGGAGGAGUCAUUUCGUUUGAUUGAAAUCCAAUCUCUACAACUAUGCAAUACACCAACCACCCUAUUUCAUAACGAAAUUCGUAUGAACCUGAAUUGCCCAAUUUCAUGGACCGAUGGAUAUUGGAUUGAGUCCAAAACUUGGGGAACAUCAUAAUAUGAUGAGAGGACUCAUGUGGUGUCUUUUAAUUGAAAUCCAAUGGCUAAAACUAUGCAAUAUACCAACCACUCCAUUUCAGAACGAACUUCGUACGAACAUAAAUUGUCCAAUUUCCUGGACCAAUCUAUAUGGGAUUGAGUCCAAAAAUUGGGGAACAUCAUAAUAUGAUGAGCGGAGUCAUUUGGUGUCUUUUAACUGAAAUGCAAUGGCUAAAACUAUGCAAUACACUAACCACUCAAUUUCAGAACGAACUUUGUACGAGCCUGAAUUGUCCAAUUUCAUGGACCAAUCGAUAUCGGAUUGAGUCCAAAACUUGUGGAUCAUCAUAAUCCGGUGGGAGGAGUCAUUUCGUGGGUUUUGAGUGAAAUCCAAUCUCUACAACUAUGCAAUACACCAACCACCCUAUUUCAUAACGAACUUCGUACAAACCUGAAUUGUCCAAUUUCAUGGAGCAAUCGAUACCGGAUUGAGCCCAAAACUUGGGCAACUUCAUAAUAUGAUGGGAGGAGUCAUUUGGUGUCUUUUGACUGAAAUCCAAAGGUUAAAACUAUGCAAUACACAACCACACCAUUUCAGAACGAACUUCGUACGAACCUGAAUUGUCCAAUUUCAUGGACCAAUCGAUAUCGGAUUGAGUCCAAAACUUGGGGAUCAUCAUAAUACGGUGGAAGGAGUCAUUUGGUGGGUUUUGAGUGAAAUCCAAUCUGUACAACUAUGCAAUACACCAACCACUCCAUUUUAUAACGAACUUCAUACGAACCUGAAUUGUCCAAUUUCAUGGACCAAUCGACAUCGGAUUGAGUCCAAAACUUGGGUAUCAUCGUAAUACGGUGGGAGGAGUCAUUUCAUGGGUUUUGAGUGAAAUCCAAUCUCUACAACUAUGCAAUACACCAACCACUCCGUCCCAAAACGAACUUCGUACGAACCUGAAUUGUCAAAUUUCAUGGACCAAUCGAUAUCGGAUUGAGUCCAAAAGUUGGGGAUCAUCAUAAUAUCGUGGGAGGAGUCAUUUCGUGGGUUUUGAGUGAAAUCCAAUGGCUAAAACUAUGCAAUACACUAACCACUCCAUUUCAGAACGAACUUCGUACGAACCUGAAUUGUCCAAUUUCAGGGACCAAUCCAUAUCGGAUUGAGUCCAAAACUUGGGGAUCAUCACAAUCCGGUGGGAGGAGUCAUUUGGUGUCUUUUAACUGAAAUCCAAUGGCCCACACUAUGCAAUACACCAACCACUCCAUUUCAGAAUGAACUUUGUACGAACGUGAAUUGACCAAUUUCAUGGACCAAUCGAUACCGGAUUGAGCCCAAAACUUGGGCAACAUCAUAAUAUGAUGGGAGGAGUCAUUUGGUGUCUUUUGACUGAAAUCCAAUCGCUAAAACUAUGCAAUACACAAACCACUCCAUUUCAGAACAAACUUCGUUCGAACUUGAAUUAUCCAAUUUCAGGGACAAAUCGAUAUCGGAUUGAGUCCAAAACUUGGGGAUCAUCAUAAUACGGUGGAAGGAGUCAUUUGGUUGGUUUUUAGUGAAAUCCAAUCUCUACAACUAUGCAAUAUACCAACCACUCCAUUUCAUAAUGAACUUCGUACGAACCUGAAUUGUCCAAUUUCAUGGACCAAUCGAUAUCGGAUUGAGUCCAAAACUUGGGGAUCAUCAUAAUACAGUGGAAGGAGUCAUUUGGUGGGUUUUGAGGGAAAUCCAAUCUCUUCAACUAUGCAAUACACCAACCACUCGAUUUCAGAACGAACUUCGUACGAACAUGAAUUGUCCAAUUUCAUGGACCAAUCGAUAUGGGAUUGAGUCCAAAACUUGAGGAACAUCAUAAUAUGAUGAGCGGAGUCAUUUGGUGUCUUUUGACUGAAAUCCAAUGCCUAAAACUAUGCAAUACACUAACCACUCCAUUUCAGAACGAACUUCGUAUGAACCUGAAUUGUCCAAUUUCAUGGACCAAUCGAUAUCGAAUUGAGUCCAAAACUUGGGGAUCAUCAUAAUCCGGUGGGAGGAGUCGUUUCGUGGGUUUUGAGUGAAAUCCAAUCUCUACCACUAUGCAAUACACCAACCACUCCAUUUCAGAACGAACUUCGUACGAACUUGAAUUGUCCAAUUUCAUGGACCAAAUGAUAUCGGAUUGAGUCCAACACUUGGGGAUCAUCAUAAUAUGGUGGGAGGAGUCAUUUCGUGGGUUUUGAGUGAAAUCCAAUCUCUACAACGGUGCAAUACACCAACCACUCCAUUUCGUAACGAACUUCGUACGAACCUGAAUUGUCCAAUUUCAUGGUCCAACCGACAUCGGAUUGAGUCCAAAACUUGGGUAUCAUCAUAAUACGGUGGGAGGAGUCAUUUCGUGGGUUUUGAGUGAAAUCCAAUCUCUACAACUAUGCAAUACACCAACUACACCAUCUUAGAACGAACUUCGUACGAACCUGAAUUGUCAAAUUUCAUGGAACAAUCGAUAUCGGUUUGUGUCCAAAACUUGGGGAUCAUCAUAAUACGGUGGGAGGAGUCAUUUGGUGGGUUUUGAGUGAAAUCCAAUCUCUACAACUAUGCAAUACACCAACCACUCCAUUUCAUAACGAACUUCGUACGAUCUUGAAUUGUCCAAUUUCAUGCACCAAUCAAUAUCGGAUUGAGUCCAAAACUUGCGGAACAUCAUAGUACGGUGGCAGGAGUCAUUAGGUGGGUUUUGAGUGAAAUCCAAUCUCUGCAACUUCGCAAUACACCAACCACCCCAUUUCAUAACGAACUUCGUACGAACCUGAAUUGUCCAAUUUCAUGGACCCAUCGAUAUCGGAUUGAGUCCCAAACUUGGGGAACAUCGUAAUAUGAUGGGGGAAGUCAUUUGGUGUCUUUUGACUGAAAUCCAAUGGCUAAAACUAUGCAAUACACCAACCACUCCAUUUCAGAACGAACAUCGUACGAACCUGAAUUGUCCAAUUUCAUGGACCAAUCGAUAUCGGAUUGAGUCCAAAACUUGGGGAACAUCAUAGUACGGUGGCAGGAGUCAUUUGGUGGGUUUGAUUGAAAUCCAAUCUCUACAACUAUGCAAUUAACCAACCACUCCAUUUCAUAACGAACUUUGUACGAACCUGAAUUGUCCAAUUUCAUGGACCAAUCAAUAUCAGAUUGAGUCCACAACUUGGGGAACAUCAUAACACGGUCGGAGGAGCCAUUUGGUGGCUUUUGAGUGAAAUCCGAUCUCUACAACUAUGCAUUACACCAAGCACUCCAUUUCAGAACGAACUUCGUACGAGCCUGAAUUGUCCAAUUUCAUGGACCAAUCGAUAUCAGAUUGAGUCCAAAACUUGGGAAACAUCAUAAUAUGGUGGGAGGAGUCAUUUGGUGUUUUUUGAGUGAAAUCCAAUCUCUACAACUAUGCAACCACCAACCAUUCCAUUCCAAAACGAACUUCGUACGAACCGGAAUUGUCCAAUUUCAUGGACCAAUCGAUAUUGGAUUGAGUCCAAAACUUGGGGAUCAUCAUAAUAUGGUGGGAGGAGUCAUUUCGUAGGUUUUGAGUGAAGUCCAAUCUCUACAACUGUGCAUUACACCAACCACUCCAUCUCAGAACGAACUUCGUACGAACCUGAGUUGUCAAAUUUCUUGGACCAAUCGAUAUCGGAUUGAUUCCAAAACUUGGGGAACAUCAUAAUAUGAUGGGAAGAGUCAUGUGGUGACUUUUCAGUGAAAUCCAAUGGAUAAAACUAUGCAAUACACCAACCACUCCAUUUCAGAACGAAUUUCUUACGAAGCUGAAUUGUCCAAUUUUAUGGACCAAUCGAUAUCGGAUUGAGUCCAAAACUUGGGGAACAUCAUAAUACAUUAGGAGGAGUCAUUAGGUGUCUUUUGAGAGAAAUCCAAUGGCUAAAACUAUGCAAUACACCAACCACUCCAUUUCAAAACGAACUUCGUACGAACGUGAAUUGAACAAUUCCAUGGACCGAUCGAUAACGAAUUGGGUCCAAAAUUUAGGGAACAUCACAAUAUGGUGGGAGGAGUCAUUUGGUGGGUUUUCAGUGAAAUCCAAUCUCUACAACUACACAAUACACCAACCACCCUAUUUCAUAACGAACUUCGUACGAACCUGAAUUGAACAAUUUCAUGGACCAAUCGAUAUCGGAUUGAGUCCAAAACUGGGGGAACAAAAUAAUAUGAUGGGAGGAGUCAUUUGGUGUCUUUUGACUGAAAUCCAAUGGCAAAAACUAUGCAAUACAUAAACCACUCCAUUUCAGAACGAACUUCGUACGAACCUGAAUUGUCCAAUUUCAUGGACCAAUCGAUAUCGGAUUGAGUUGAAAACUUGGGGAUCAACAUAAUACUGUGGGAGGAGUCAUUUGGUGGGUUUUGAUUGAAAUCCAAUCUCUACAACAAUGCAAUACACCAACCACUCCAUUUCAUAACGAACUUCGUACGAACCUGAAUUGUCCAAUUUCAAGGACCAAUCGAUAUCGGAUGGAGUCCAAAACUUAGGGAACAUCAUAAUAUGAUGGGAGGAGUCAUUUGGUGUCUUGUGGGUGAAAUCCAAUGGCUAAAACUAUACAAUACACCAACCGCUCCAUUUCAAAACGAACUUCGUACGAACCUGAAUUGUCCAAUUUCAUGGACCAAUCGAUAUCGGAUUGAGUCCAAAACGUGGGGAGCAUCAUACUAUGGUGGGUGGAGUCAUUUGGUGGCUUUUGAGUGAAAUUCAAUGGGUAUAACUUUGCAAUACACCAACCACACCAUUUCAACGCACUUCGUACGAACCUGUACUGUCCAAUUUCGAGGACCAAUCGAUAUCAGAUUUAGUCCAAAACUUGGGGAUCAUCAUAAUACGGUUUGGGGAGUCAUUUCUUAGGUUUUGAGUGAAAUCCAGUCUCUACAACUAUGCAAUACACCAACACUCCAUUUCAUAACGAACUUCGUACGAACCUGAAUUGUCCAAUUUCAUGGACCAAUCAAUAUCAGAUUGAGUCGAAAACAUGGGGAUCAUCAUAAUAAGGUGCGAGGAGUCAUUUGGUGGGUUUUGAUUGAAAUCCAAUCUCUAAACUAUGCAAUAAACUAACCACUCCAUUUCAUAACGAACUUCGUAUGAACCUGAAUUGUCCAAUUUCAUGGACCAAUCGAUAUCGGAUUGAGUCCAAAUCAUGGGGAUCAUCAUAAUACGGUGUGAGGACUCAUUUGGUGGGUUUUGAUUGAAAUCCAAUCUCUAAACUAUGCAAUACACUAACCACUCCAUUUCAUAACGAACUUCGUAUGAACCUGAAUUGUCCAAAUUCAUGGACCAAUCGAUAUCGGAUUGAGUCCAAAACUUGGGGAAUAUCAUAAUACGGUGGGGAGAGUCAUUUGGUGGCUUCUGAGUGAAAUCCAAUCUCUACAACUAUGCAAUACACCAACCACUCCAUUUCAGAACGAACUCGGACGAACUAGAAUUGUCCAAUUUCAUGGACCAAUCGAUAUCGGAUUGAGUCCAAAACUUGGGGAACAUCAUAAUAUUGUGGGAGGAGUCAUUUGGUGGGUUUUGAGUGAAAUCCAAUUUCCACAACUAUGCAAUACACCAACCACUCUAUUUCAUAACGAACUUCGUACGAACCUGAAUUGUUCAAUUUCGCGGGCCAAAACAUGGGGAACAUCAUAAUAUGGUGGGACGAGUCAUUUGGUGGGUUUUGAUGACAUCCAAUCUCUACAACUAUGCAAUACCCCAGCCACUCCAUUUCAUAACGAACUUCGUACGAACCUGAAUUGUCCAAUUUGAUGGACGAAUCGAUAUCGGAUUGAGUCCAAAACUU
rnacentral:lncRNA from 1 species